rnacentral:rRNA from 1 species
ACGAACGCUGGCGGCAUGCCUAACACAUGCAAGUCGAACGAGACCUUCGGGUCUAGUGGCGCACGGGUGCGUAACGCGUGGGAACCUUCCCUUAGGUUCGGAAUAACUCCCCGAAAGGGGUGCUAAUACCGGAUAAUGUCUUCGGACCAAAGAUUUAUCGCCUUUGGAUGGGCCCGCGUUGGAUUAGCUAGUUGGUAGGGUAAAAGCCUACCAAGGCGACGAUCCAUAGCUGGUCUGAGAGGAUGAUCAGCCACACUGGGACUGAGACACGGCCCAGACUCCUACGGGAGGCAGCAGUGGGGAAUAUUGGACAAUGGGCGAAAGCCUGAUCCAGCAAUGCCGCGUGAGUGAUGAAGGCCUUAGGGUUGUAAAGCUCUUUUACCCGGGAUGAUAAUGACAGUACCGGGAGAAUAAGCUCCGGCUAACUCCGUG